GCCGCGGCCGGCAGGCGCGGCUGCGGGCAGCACCCAGCGCGCGCUGCCACCUGCUCAGCCCGCGCUGCCGCGCCAGCCCGCUGGAGGCCGUGCGGCGCGGCACCGGCGUCAGGUCCUAGGGCCCUGUGAGGCGGCGCCCGGCGGCGCGGCGACUGACCGCCUCUGCUCUGCCGGUCUCUGAGCUGCGGCUGGCGGCCCCCCGGCCCAGCGGCACACCACAGCCGGACUCACUGCGAGCGACAAAUGGAAUCCGGCAGAGACCGACUGCUGAGUAUCGAACGUACAGAGUGUCCAUUCAAUGUUGAUCCAAUAACUCAGGUGUGCGCGCCUCGCAGUCAGCGUUCGACUGUCAAUACAAGAAACGGGCGCUGCGCGGCGUGCGACGAACCAUAAACGGACCGACGGACGGGCGCUGAGGGACUGGACUGACGGGCCGCGGGACGGGCUCUGAGGGACUGACUGACGGACCGACAGACGGGCGCUGAGGGACUGACAGACGGACCGACGGACGGGCGCUGACGGACCGACAGACGGACGCUGAGGGACUGACUGACGGGCCGACGGACCGACGGACGAGGACUGACUUCUGAGCGGACAGGUCGGCCGUCCGCUCACACGGUCGGACUCAGCCAGCGGCCGGCUCUGCGACACGGCGUUGUUACCGUACGCCAAUGUUAUAGUAAGUUGUUAUGCUCCUUAGGAUAUUAGGAGCGAUUGUUAUCGCUAUGUAUGGGUUGUGUGCAUCUUUGGGCGCUAAUAUGUACUGUAGUGUUUGGUUUACACAACAGACGUAGGUGUAACUGAAUUUCGUACUGGCUACGCGUACAAUCACUAGCUAUGUACUAGCUGUAAUAGCAGGGAUGUAGUAUGAAGGCAUUUGUUUUGUUGAUAAUAAAUCAGUUGUUGGAC